AAAUUGAAGAGUUUGAUCAUGGCUCAGAUUGAACGCUGGCGGCAGGCCUAACACAUGCAAGUCGAACGGUAACAGGAAGCAGCUUGCUGCUUCGCUGACGAGUGGCGGACGGGUGAGUAAUGUCUGGGAAACUGCCUGAUGGAGGGGGAUAACUACUGGAAACGGUAGCUAAUACCGCAUAACGUCGCAAGACCAAAGAGGGGGACCUUCGGGCCUCUUGCCAUCGGAUGUGCCCAGAUGGGAUUAGCUUGUUGGUGGGGUAACGGCUCACCAAGGCGACGAUCCCUAGCUGGUCUGAGAGGAUGACCAGCCACACUGGAAACUGAGACACGGUCCAGACUCCUACGGGAGGCAGCAGUGGGGAAUAUUGCACAAUGGGCGCAAGCCUGAUGCAGCCAUGCCGCGUGUAUGAAGAAGGCCUUCGGGUUGUAAAGUACUUUCAGCGGGGAGGAAGGGAGUAAAGUUAAUACCUUUGCUCAUUGACGUUACCCGCAGAAGAAGCACCGGCUAACUCCGUGCCAGCAGCCGCGGUAAUACGGAGGGUGCAAGCGUUAAUCGGAAUUACUGGGCGUAAAGCGCACGCAGGCGGUUUGUUAAGUCAGAUGUGAAAUCCCCGGGCUCAACCUGGGAACUGCAUCUGAUACUGGCAAGCUUGAGUCUCGUAGAGGGGGGUAGAAUUCCAGGUGUAGCGGUGAAAUGCGUAGAGAUCUGGAGGAAUACCGGUGGCGAAGGCGGCCCCCUGGACGAAGACUGACGCUCAGGUGCGAAAGCGUGGGGAGCAAACAGGAUUAGAUACCCUGGUAGUCCACGCCGUAAACGAUGUCGACUUGGAGGUUGUGCCCUUGAGGCGUGGCUUCCGGAGCUAACGCGUUAAGUCGACCGCCUGGGGAGUACGGCCGCAAGGUUAAAACUCAAAUGAAUUGACGGGGGCCCGCACAAGCGGUGGAGCAUGUGGUUUAAUUCGAUGCAACGCGAAGAACCUUACCUGGUCUUGACAUCCACGGAAGUUUUCAGAGAUGAGAAUGUGCCUUCGGGAACCGUGAGACAGGUGCUGCAUGGCUGUCGUCAGCUCGUGUUGUGAAAUGUUGGGUUAAGUCCCGCAACGAGCGCAACCCUUAUCCUUUGUUGCCAGCGGUCCGGCCGGGAACUCAAAGGAGACUGCCAGUGAUAAACUGGAGGAAGGUGGGGAUGACGUCAAGUCAUCAUGGCCCUUACGACCAGGGCUACACACGUGCUACAAUGGCGCAUACAAAGAGAAGCGACCUCGCGAGAGCAAGCGGACCUCAUAAAGUGCGUCGUAGUCCGGAUUGGAGUCUGCAACUCGACUCCAUGAAGUCGGAAUCGCUAGUAAUCGUGGAUCAGAAUGCCACGGUGAAUACGUUCCCGGGCCUUGUACACACCGCCCGUCACACCAUGGGAGUGGGUUGCAAAAGAAGUAGGUAGCUUAACCUUCGGGAGGGCGCUUACCACUUUGUGAUUCAUGACUGGGGUGAAGUCGUAACAAGGUAACCGUAGGGGAACCUGCGGUUGGAUCACCUCCUUA
rnacentral:rRNA from 1 species